UUAUGAAGUCAAAUUAUAUUUCAAGAUGCUAAUUCUCCAAUUAUAGAAAAUAUAAUUAUAUUUCAUGAUCAUGCCAUAUUAAUUAUUAUAAUAAUUAUUACUAUAAUCUUAUAUAUUAUUAUUUUUAUAAUAAAUAAUAAAUUUAUUAAUCGUAAUUUAUUAGAAGGACAAAUAAUUGAAAUUAUUUGAACUGUAAUUCCUAUUAUUUUAUUAAUUUUUUUAGCAAUUCCAUCCUUAAAAAUUUUAUACUUAACGGAUGAAACUAAUUUUCCUAAUAUUACAAUUAAAAUUAUUGGUCAUCAAUGAUACUGAAGGUAUGAAUAUAGGGAUUUUAAAAUAAUUAAUUUUGAUUCUUUUAUGAUUAAAAAUAACAAUAUAUUUCGUUUGUUAGAUGUAGAUAAUCGAAUAGUAUUACCAUAUAAUACUCAAAUUCGUAUAUUAAUUAAUUCUUUAGAUGUAAUUCAUUCUUUUACUAUUCCUUCCUUAGGAAUUAAAGUAGAUGCAGUACCAGGUCGUAUUAAUCAAAUUAGAUGUAUAAUAAAACGACCAGGUAUUUUUUUUGGACAGUGUUCAGAAAUUUGUGGGGUAAAUCAUAGUUUUAUACCUAUUGUAUUAGAAUCUACUAAGAUAAAUAUAUUUAUUAAUUGAAUUAAUAGUAAAUAAAAUUCAAUUGAAGUAAUUAGUUAAUUAUUACUAUAUUUUGAUUUAAAAAAUCAAUUCUUACUUUAAGAUACCAAUUGAAUAAAAGAUUAGUUAAAAUAUAACCUUAAUUUGUCAAAUUAAAAUUAUUAAUUUCUAAUAUCUUUUUCAUACCACAAAUAAGUCCAAUAUUGUGAUCUAUACUAUUUAUAUACACUAUUAUACUAUUAUUUAUUAGUAUUCUAAUAAUAUAUUAUUUAAUUAUUUACUAUAAAAUUAAUUUUAAUAAAUUAAAUAAAACUAUAUAUUUAUUUUUAAAUAAAUGAUAAUAAAUUUAUUUUCUAUUUUUGACCCUUCUACUUCAAUAAAUUUUUCUAUAAAUUGAAUUAGAUCUAUUUAUAUUAUUAUAUUUUAUCCAAACUUAUUUUGAUUAAUCCCAUCACGAUGAAAUUAUAUAUAUAUAAAUUUAUUGAAAUAUUUAAUUAAUGAAUUUUAUAUAUUAUUAAAUAAAAAAAUUAAUGUAAUUAAUAUAAUUUUAUUUAUUGGACUAUUCAUAAGCAUCAUAUUAAAUAAUUUUAUAGGAUUAUUUCCUUAUAUUUAUACUUCUACUAGACAAAUAACUUUUAGAAUAACAUUAUCUAUAAGUUUAUGAAUUAUAAUAAUAUUAUUUGGAUGAAUAAUUAAUACUAACUUUAUAUUUACUCAUUUAGUACCUCAGGGUACACCAAAUUUAUUAAUACCUUUUAUAGUUUUAAUUGAAUCUAUUAGGAAUGUAAUUCGUCCUAUUACUUUAGCAGUUCGGUUAUCUGCUAAUAUAAUUGCAGGUCAUUUAUUAAUAACAUUGAUUUCUUCUACUGGAAGUAAGCUAAAUAUAUUAAUAUUAUUUAUUAUAUUAAUAACACAAAGAAUACUAAUUAUUUUAGAAUUAAGAGUGUCAGUAAUUCAAGCCUAUGUAUUUAGUGUAUUAAGAUUAUUAUAUAGAACUGAAACAAAUUAAAUAUGAAAAAAUUAUACCAACCUUUUCAUUUAGUAACAUUAAGUCCUUGACCUUUACUUUUAUCUUUUAAUUUAUUAAUUUUAAUAAUUAGAUUAAUAAAUUUAUUUAAUAAUUUUAAUUAUUAUAUAUUAUUAUUUAGUAUAUUGUUAAUAAUAUUAUCAUUAUAUCAAUGAUGACGGGAUGUAAUUCGAGAAAGAACAUUUCAAGGAUUUCACACUAAAAAAGUUGUAUUAGGAUUAAAAUUAGGAAUAUUAUUAUUUAUUACUUCAGAGGUAUUAUUUUUCUUUAGAAUUUUUUGAUGUUAUUUUCACAUAUUUCUAUCCCCUAGAAUUGAAAUUGGUAGAAUUUGACCUCCAAAAAAUAUUAUUACUUUUAAUCCUUAUCAUAUUCCUUUAUUAAAUACUAUUAUUUUACUAUCCUCUGGAGUAACCAUUACUUGAUGUCAUUAUUCAAUUCUAAUAAAAAUAAAAAUAAAUAGUUUUAUUAGAUUAGCUUUAACUAUUACAUUAGGAAUAAUUUUUACAUUUUAUCAGUAUAAAGAAUAUAGAGACUCUAGGUUUACAAUUACUGAUUCUAUUUAUGGAUCAAUUUUUUUUAUAUCUACCGGAUUUCACGGAAUUCAUGUAAUUAUUGGAACAAUAUUUUUACUAAUUAAUUUAAUUCGAAUUUAUAUAGAUAAUUAUUCUAAUGUUCAUCAUUUUGGAUUUGAAGCUGCUGCUUGAUAUUGACAUUUUGUAGAUGUAGUAUGAUUAUUUUUAUAUUUAUUAAUUUAUUUUUGAUCUAGUUAAUAA